rnacentral:lncRNA from 1 species
GGCCCUGCGAGGUCCGAGGGACUCAUUCUGAUGAAGGAAAGAGCGUCCCUGUGCAGCUGCGUGUCCUUCAGUUCUUUGGCUCUGAUUCCGUGUCUGGCUUCAUCUAAGUGGCCUGGUCCAUGGGCAGUGAAGAAAUGUAAAGUGCAAUAGCCCUCUGGAACAAGACAAUUCAUGUGAGAUAAGAAAGAAGAGCCCACAAGACCAAGGAUGUAUUCUCAGUUUACAGACCACUGACCAGAGGCCACUCCAGGGUGUCAGGACUAAGAGAAGUCACAAAACAGCAGAUUUCCCAAGAGCAGCGGAAAAUGAUCCAGUCACAGGUGGGUUAUCGGUUUAUCCUCUGUUUCAUGAAAAUGAUCCAGUCACAGGUGGGUUAUCGGUUUAUCCUCUGUUUCAUGAAAAUGAUCCAGUCACAGGUGGGUUAUCGGUUUAUCCUCUGUUUCAUGAAAAUGAUCCAGUCACAGGUGGGUUAUCGGUUUAUCCUCUGUUUCAUGAAAAUGAUCCAGUCACAGGUGGGUUAUCGGUUUAUCCUCUGUUUUGUGGGUGUUAUGAGGCUUACAGAAAUCUCUGCAACACACAGAAGGGUCUAAAUACAUUUAAAUAAGAGAAAAUAUAAACUUGGGAAAGAAGAUGUCCAAAGAAGCACAAAGUAGAUUAUAGAAACAUACAAAAGUCUCAGCUGGGCAUGGUGGCUCAUGCCUGUAAUCCCAGCCCUUUGGGAGGCCGAGGAGGGCAGAUCAUUUGAGGUCAGGAGUUUGAGACCAGCCUGGCCAACAUGGCAAAACCCCGUCUCUACUGAAAAUACAAAAAUUAGCCUCCCAGCUACUCGGGAGGCUGAGGCAUGAGAAUCACUUGAACCCAGGAGAUGGAGGUUGCAGUGAGCUGAGAUCGCAUCAGUGCACUCCAGCCAGGGUGACAGAGUGAGAAAAAGAAUCAUACAAAAGUCUUAAAGUUGGAAGAGAUCAAUAAGAAAUGGGAUCCUUCCCUGUUACAGAGUUGAACUGCAAGCUUUUCUGUUAUUUCCAGAAGCCAUAACAGAAAGGGAAGUAGGAAUAGUUAACGUGGGUUCCUCUUGUCAAAAGGAAAAAGCAGACAAAUUACUCUGGAGAAGCAAAUACUUCCGAUAAUUACACAUAAAGAAAA